rnacentral:tRNA from 1 species
GCCGGAGUAGCUCAGCCUGGUUAGAGCGCUACAUGGCUUGUGGAACUACGUUUGGAACAUAUCACCAUCCGUUCCCCAAUUCGUUGGCGAGCAGAUGCCGAUGACCUACUCAAUCUAACUGGGUUACGUAGAGGUCGUGGGAUCGAAUCCCGCCUCCGGCA